AGACCGAUAGCGAACAAGUAGAGUGAUCGAAAGAUGAAAAGCACUUUGAAAAGAGAGUUAAAAAGUACGUGAAAUUGUUGAAAGGGAAGCGUUUAUGACCAGACUUGGACUUGGUUAAUCAUCUGGGGUUCUCCCCAGUGCACUUUUCCAGUUCAGGCCAGCAUCAGUUUUCGCCGGGGGAUAAAGGCUUCGGGAAUGUAGCUCUCUUCGGGGAGUGUUAUAGCCCGUUGUGUAAUACCCUGGCGGAGACUGAGGUUCGCGCUUCUGCAAGGAUGCUGGCGUAAUGGUCAUCAACGACCCGUCUUGAAACACGGACCAAG
rnacentral:rRNA from 1 species